GCCCUCUUAAGGUCUCAACUGGAGAGUUUCCAAUACUCUACCAGUUUUGGCUAUGGGAAGGAGUGUCAGGCAGAGGCCUACCCACUCCAUUCCUAGCUGGGCCAGUGGCUAGUGAGUGGGAGACAAUCUGCUACAAGU